CGCGCCUCUCACUCACUCUACCCUCCCUCUCUCUCUCUCCACCCUCCCUCUUUCCGACCGGCGAAGCACCGCGAGCAACCGACGAACCAGGUGGAUACCGGCGAGAGGACUGCGAGCAACCGACCGGCGUGCGACCUCCCUCUUUCCGACCGGCGAACCACCGCACCGUCCCUCCGGCUCUGGAUCUGGCCCCGACUCGUCCGUCCCCUGCUCUUUCUCUCCCCUUGCGUCUCUGUCUGUCCUCCUCUCUUCGCGGCGAAGAACCAGCGCGUGACUAAUGAACCACCGCGCCCCCCCUUCGGCUCGAGUUCCCGCACUGGCUUGUCCGGUACGCUGGAACGUUCGCGCCCGACGCCUCACACCCACCAACUGACCACUUCUCUGUCUUGUGGUUCUGGUGAGGUAAUACAGAUCAUGGGCUUAGUAAAGAAUGCAAUUUGCUGAGCAGUGACAGUGAGCACCAGUUUAGCACCAGAAAUGACAUGGGGGCUGUAGAAAGCAAGGUUGGCCCUUUUGAGAUUGACCAUUUUGGCGAUUUCCAAUUAGAUGUGUAACCCCUGUCAACUUUGGCACACGCCUCCCAUCAAGGUACACGUUCUCUACAGCAUUCACCACCGAGGCGUCAAGCCGUCGGCCCCUGCCCCCAUGAUAAGCACACGAGAUCGUUGGUGAUGGUGAAUUCUCUGCGUCGAUCUUUUGCUAUUCUAUCAGCCCGGGGGAGCUGCACCAUUGUCGUCGACAGACAAUCCAAUACGUCAGAGGUGGAGGAUCUUGAUGCCGGAUGGGUCUCAUGCCAUUUAUCCCAAACCCAGAGCUUUGAACCACUUUGAGAUACAGGAUAUGGUCGACCAUUAUCGCCAGGUUGCCAUAAAUGCCAUUCGAGCCGGAAAGGGAGUCCAGGAAAUGGCAUCACUUCGCAGAGUCUUCCCGACGUUGAUUUUGGCAUCUGUCCUCAGCCAAAUUCUCACUGCAACAGCCUACCUUUCGUGUUUUCUAUGGAAUGCAAGGAGACAACCUGCCUAGUCUGGCUGAGGUGAUACAGCUCUACUAGAGUCACAAUAUUGGGACAAUGUAGCUCUACGAUCCCAACCCCAAAGCACUCUGAGCUCUAGUGAACUCCGGCAUCAGCGUGAUCGUUGGCACCAAAAAUGAAGACCUACACAACUUGGCAUCAAGUGUGGAAGCCACAAGUCAUGGAUCGACGCUCAACGCUACCAAGGUGUGAAGCCUACUUUUUGUCUAUGUAAAUGACAGAAGUUGCAGACGGAAGGGGACAGUUUCUAAGUUAGAGGAUUUCACCGUUCAUUUGUUCUUUCAUAUUUUGACUCAAGAAUAGUUAAACCACAAUUCCUGUGGCUGUGGUUUGUCAUUCAUGUAAAAAGUCGAGACACAGGACAUUAGUAAUACUAUGCUCCUAUUGCCUCAACUUUUCUCACGUUGAAGGUCGCAUGAAUUUGGCUUUUUUAGGUCUUCAUUUGCUUGUAUUGGGAAUAAAGGAAACUUCCUACUUCCGGGACAUGAAUGUAAAAUCCCUUGCAGCCUCUGCGCAUCUUUCU